AUACGGGGGGUGCAAGCGUUAUUCGGAAUCAUUGGGCGUAAAGGGCACGCAGGCGGCCUGGUAAGUCAGAUGUGAAAGCCCGGGGCUUAACCCCGGAAGGGCAUUUGAAACUAUCAGGCUUGAGUAUGGGAGAGGGAAGUGGAAUUCCUGGUGUAGAGGUGAAAUUCGUAGAUAUCAGGAGGAACACCGGUGGCGAAGGCGACUUCCUGGACCAAUACUGACGCUGAGGUGCGAAGGCGUGGGGAGCAAACAGGAUUAGAAACCCGGGUAGUCC
rnacentral:rRNA from 1 species